rnacentral:rRNA from 1 species
UACGUAGGGUGCAAGCGUUGUCCGGAAUUAUUGGGCGUAAAGAGCUCGUAGGCGGCUCGUCACGUCGGCUGUGAAAACCCGGGGCUCAACCCCGGGCCUGCAGUCGAUACGGGCGAGCUAGAGUUCGGCAGGGGAGACUGGAAUUCCCGGUGUAGCGGUGAAAUGCGCAGAUAUCAGGAGGAACACCGGUGGCGAAGGCGGGUCUCUGGGCCGAUACUGACGCUGAGGAGCGAAAGCGUGGGGAGCGAACAGG